rnacentral:rRNA from 1 species
UUUAAAUAGCUGCAGUAUAUUAACUGUACAAAGGUAGCAUAAUAAUUAGUCUUUUAAUUGAGGUCUAGAAUGAAUGGUUUGACAAGAAAAAAUCUUUAUUUAAUUAAUUGGGUUGAAUUUAAUUUUUUAGUUAAAAAGCUAAAAUUUUUAAAUGGGACGAUAAGACCCUAUAGAUCUUUAAAUUUUUAAGAAUAAAAAUAUUUUUGGUUAAUUAGAGUUUAAAAUAGAAAUUUUUAGUUGGGGUGACAAAUAAAAUUUUAAAACUUUAUUUUUUAAUUACAUAUAUAUAUGUAUUUUAAGAUCCUAAAUUUUGGAUUUUAAAAAUAAGAUACCUUAGGGAUAACAGCGUAAUAAAUUUGUAUAGUUCAUAUAGAUAAAUUUGUUUACGACCUCGAUGUUGAAUUAAUUAAAAUUUUUGGAGCAGAAAUUAAAAUUUUAGGUCUGUUCGACCUUUAGAAUAUUACA